rnacentral:rRNA from 1 species
AGAGUUUGAUCCUGGCUCAGGAUGAACGCUAGCUACAGGCUUAACACAUGCAAGUCGAGGGGCAGCAUCAUCAAAGCUUGCUUUGAUGGAUGGCGACCGGCGCACGGGUGAGUAACACGUAUCCAACCUGCCGACAACACUGGGAUAGCCUUUCGAAAGAAAGAUUAAUACCGGAUGGCAUAGUUUUCCCGCAUGGGAUGAUUAUUAAAGAAUUUCGGUUGUCGAUGGGGAUGCGUUCCAUUAGGCAGUUGGCGGGGUAACGGCCCACCAAACCUACGAUGGAUAGGGGUUCUGAGAGGAAGGUCCCCCACAUUGGAACUGAGACACGGUCCAAACUCCUACGGGAGGCAGCAGUGAGGAAUAUUGGUCAAUGGGCGAGAGCCUGAACCAGCCAAGUAGCGUGAAGGAUGACUGCCCUAUGGGUUGUAAACUUCUUUUAUAAAGGAAUAAAGUCGGGUAUGGAUACCCGUUUGCAUGUACUUUAUGAAUAAGGAUCGGCUAACUCCGUGCCAGCAGCCGCGGUAAUACGGAGGAUCCGAGCGUUAUCCGGAUUUAUUGGGUUUAAAGGGAGCGUAGGCGGGUUGUUAAGUCAGUUGUGAAAGUUUGCGGCUCAACCGUAAAAUUGCAGUUGAUACUGGCGACCUUGAGUGCAACAGAGGUAGGCGGAAUUCGUGGUGUAGCGGUGAAAUGCUUAGAUAUCACGAAGAACUCCGAUUGCGAAGGCAGCUCACUGGAGUGUAACUGACGCUGAUGCUCGAAAGUGUGGGUAUCAAACAGGAUUAGAUACCCUGGUAGUCCACACAGUAAACGAUGAAUACUCGCUGUUUGCGAUAUACAGUAAGCGGCCAAGCGAAAGCGUUAAGUAUUCCACCUGGGGAGUACGCCGGCAACGGUGAAACUCAAAGGAAUUGACGGGGGCCCGCACAAGCGGAGGAACAUGUGGUUUAA